AAAAAAUGAAGGACCAACGCCGAAAAGGGACAAAUAUGAGUGAAAUUAGGAAAAUUAGAAGAUGUCAGAGUGUUUUCUUAACUCUGUAAAGCCCGAACCAUCAAAUAAUUUUCUUUUAAAAUUUUUAAUAUUUUUUUUAACCUUACCUUACCAAAAAAAUAAUAAAAAUAAUAAUAAAAUACAUUUGCAUAUUUAACUUUAAAUUUGUAUCUUUUUGCUUAAUCUGGCAUUUCUGUGCAAGUUGUUGCUUAAAAAAUGUAUUGUGCAAUUUAUUCUGGUUUUUCAGGAAAGAAAAUCACACUGAGGAUGUGGAGUCAAACACUCACAUAGUCUCAUGUGUCAAGUAUGAUACAGUUAAACUAGUCUUCUUGCAUGGAGCACAUUUAGACCAAACACCGAAUUAUCUUGACCAUGUCUAUUAUUAACCUACACUUAUAUAUAGCCUAAAUAGGAACGGAGCUAGUCCCGUCAGUUUUGUGGUGGCUAAUUGUUCACAGACAGCGUGAUGAAGAACUAACAAGCUUUUCUUAAGUUGACCAAGGUCUUAAAGGUCAACUUAAUGAUUCAUUGCUAGAAAACUGAAAUCCUUGUAAUUUAGAAACUAUGCUUCUUACAAGUGGUGUGUAUUGUCAGCAUGUAAAAAAUUAUCAUGUUACAUUUGACCUCUGAUUUCACUUUUAUGUUGUACAUCUGCCUAAAAUGUGUUACAUUAUUAAAUAAUUAAUCCAUUUAAAAAAAAAAAAAAAAGAAUAAUUCUACUCAAAAAUUAUAUUUAAAAGUAUAAAAUGGAUUUCAAACAGGGCAAAUAAGAAAAGCCUGUACAUUGCAUAUGUUUCCAUUGCACUACAAACUUCCUAAAGUGCAUUUAAAAGGUGGAAAAAACAGAAUGACUUUACAGAAAAUACAAUACUAUUCCCUCCCUAUUUGCGCACUUCUUGUGUUAAAUAUUAGUGAGGGUUGUCAGAGCAUAGGUCGGGGUCGGCACUCGGGCUAGGUAUCAGUGUUGGUCAAAUUACUUGAAAAAAGUAAUUAGUAACUAAUUAAUGAUUACUUCCUGAAAAAAGUAAUCCCAUUACUUUACUGAUUACUUAUUUUCAAAAGUAAUUCGUUACUUAGUUACUUUUCAAAACAGGAUUUACACCCUAAAU
ensembl:lncRNA